AACGAACGUUAGCGGCGCGCCUAACACAUGCAAGUCGAGCGAGAAAGGGGCAACCCCGGUAAAGCGGCGCACGGGUGAGUAACACGUAGGUAAUCUACCCUCGGGUGGAGGAUAACUUUCCGAAAGGAAGGCUAAUACUGCAUGAGACCACGGUUCCGGAAGGGAUUGAGGUCAAAGCCGGCCACUGUACACAAGCUGGCGCCUGAGGAUGAGCCUGCGGCCCAUCAGCUAGUUGGUAGGGUAAUGGCCUACCAAGGCGAAGACGGGUAGCUGGUCUGAGAGGAUGAUCAGCCACACUGGAACUGAGACACGGUCCAGACUCCUACGGGAGGCAGCAGUGGGGAAUCUUGCGCAAUGGGCGAAAGCCUGACGCAGCGACGCCGCGUGAGUGAU
rnacentral:rRNA from 1 species